GUAGAAUCCUUCCAGUUAAUUUUAUCCAAAAUCAGGUUUGUAGUUAUGUUGUGGAGGUUAGUGUGCUGUAUAUGUCCUGGUGACAUAGUGUUGUGGAGGGUAGUGUGCUGUAUAUGUCCUGGUGACAUAGUGUUGUGGAGGGUAGUGUGCUGUAUAUGUCCUGGUGACAUAGUGUUGUGGAGGUUAGUGUGCUGUAUAUGUCCUGGUGACAUAGUGUUGUGGAGGGUAGUGUGCUGUAUAUGUCCUGGUGACAUAGUGUUGUGGAGGUUAGUGUGCUGUAUAUGUCCUGGUGACAUAGUGUUGUGGAGGUUAGUGUGCUGUAUAUGUCCUGGUGACAUAGUGUUGUGGAGGUUAGUGUGCUGUAUAUGUCCUGGUGACAUAGUGUUGUGGAGGUUAGUGUGCU
rnacentral:lncRNA from 1 species